AAAUAAAAACUUACAAAUAGGGUUUUUGCUAGUGAAUUUAGUCAUGGAAAAAUAUAAAAAAAACAUAACUUAGGAAAAAAAUGUGGACUUACAAAUGAAAUUCCUUUUGAGAGCAGUGAGUGCCAGGAUGAGUUUUGUUCCAUUCUUGAAGUGAAACAGUAGGGGGACUUUGAAGCUGACUGAUAAUGAGAGGAAAGACAACAGGAACAAGUACAGUUUGAACAAAGUAGAAGCAAAACUCAUAAAGAUACCAACCAAAAGUUUCAAAUCUAGAAGGUUUUUCACCAACUUCUUCAUAACCAUUAUAAGCUUCUCUAGCUCUUAAAAUCUUCACAGCUCUGUUGUGUAAGUCAGGUCUAGUAGUAUUGUUGUUGUUACCUUUAGCAACUUCUGAUGCUGCUACACCACCUUGACCAUGACCAUGACCAUGUCCAUGGCCAAGGACACCACCUUCAGCUUCAACGGUUACCUCUUUCAUUGGGAUGGAGAAAGAGAAAAUAAGAAAGAAAAAAGGGGGGUGUCAGAAUGAGUAGUAAUGGUGAGAGGACAGUGGUAAGAGAAGAAGGAGGAAAGAAAAUAAAAGAGAGGGUUUUGUUGUGUUUGUGUUUUGUUUAGGAAAAACAACAAAAGGUGCAUAUGACACUAGUGUAGUGAGUGAGAGUAGGGUGGGGUGACUUUUAUGUGCAAACUGUACACAGCUGGGUAAAUUAAACCUUUUAGGGCUGUCAAUGGGGCUUUUGUUAAGGGCAUAUUGUACAUAUAUUUAAGGGGUUAAAUAUAUUUUGUUUUUAUUAAAUUAUAGUAAUUUUUUAAUUUAGUUUUUACAAC
rnacentral:lncRNA from 1 species